UGGUUCACAACCACUACCAGCUGACUUAUUACUUUUCCUUGAGUUUCUCCAAGAAUGAUAGAGUUCAUGCUGCUACAGUAAUGUUGAAGUUUAAUGGUGCCUUUUAAUUCAGCAGACUUUGAGGCAUCAGACAAGGACUUUUUUUUUAUAACAAAUCCUCAUAUGUAACAUAUCCUUAUCCAAGACUUCCUCGGCCAAAUGGUUCUUCAUUUUAGACUCCGAGGUCCUCUUGAAUAGCCAUUUCAUCUAUGAUGAGGCCUCCUUCAUGACCCUCUGUGGAGAGAUUUUGGACAGAUGCUUCAUUCCUUAUCCAUUCUAAGGCAUGCUUCUGGAUACCAGCUUGUUGGGAAUUCCAGGAUACAGUCGUAAAGUUUUCAAGACAUCAAAUGUAUUACGAACACUCCUCACUUAAAGAAAAAUUCUGAGAUAUAUGAAGCCUUCCAAUAUCGAUAAUUUUUCCACAUAGGUUAAUUUCGUAACUCUUGUCCCAAGAAAAAGUAAUUUCACUUAAUAAACGGUUCCCAUUGAUGCAGUGUCCAUUGACAUAUCCUAUUGUAAUUUCUUUUUCAGUUUCUUUAAUUUUAAAAACAUCAUCUCCACCAUGAUUUUGAAUGUCGAA